UACGUAGGGGGCAAGCGUUAUCCGGAUUUACUGGGUGUAAAGGGAGCGUAGACGGCAGCGCAAGUCUGGAGUGAAAUGCCGGGGCCCAACCCCGGAACUGCUUUGGAAACUGUGCGGCUCGAGUGCGGGAGAGGUAGGCGGAAUUCCUAGUGUAGCGGUGAAAUGCGUAGAUAUCAGGAGGAACACCGGCGGCGAAGGCGGCCUGCUGGACCGCGACUGACGUUGAGGCUCGAAAGCGUGGGGAGCGAACAGG
rnacentral:rRNA from 1 species